CGAGCGGGCACCGCACGCGGUGCGUUCCCUGCGCUCAAGGGCAGGCAGCCCCAGGGCCCGCCCUCUCCAGGUCGGCCCUGCGCAGGCGGCUGCAACUACAGCUCCCGGCGAGCCCCGCAGCUCUGGAGCGGGCCCGGCCCGGGCGCGCGCGGCACGCCGGGAGCUGUAGGCCCUACGAGACGCCGCGAGGCGGGCAGGGCGCCACGUGAUGGCGGAGAAGCCGCGCGCUGAUUGGCUGCGGCGAGGAGCGCGAGAGCUUCCGGGACCCCGGGCCGGGCUGCUUGUUUGGAUGCUUCCGUCACAUCAUGGCGACGCGCGGAGCCGAGGCAGCGCGCGGCGGCGGUGGCAGCGGCAGCACCAGCACCAGCACCAGCAGCACAAGCCGCGCGGCGGGGGCGGGGCCUGGGCUAAGGCCGGGCCGACGCGAGGCAGCCGCAGUUGGCGCGGGGCCGCUCAGCAGCGUGGAGGUCCAUGGAUGGAUGGAGAGCAAGUAGGGUUAUCGUAAAAACAGAAGUGGAACCUGAUUGAGGGGAAGUGAGUCAUAUUGUUCAAAUGCGUUUUUGUCUCGCGUAAGUAGCUAAGUAGGAGAUUGGUUUGUUAAACAUUCAGUGCUUCAUCUCUCAGUUAAGGUCUAAGAAUUCAAGUUCUCUGGGUCUUCCAGAAAAACCUUCUGCAGAUUUCCUCCUGGAGAGCCUGAAUUCUGAGAUCUUUGUAUUAAAAAGAUGGCACAAAGCCCAUUUUUCCUUUGCAGGUCAGCUUUACAUGUGCGGAUUAGAAAUACAAAUGUAAGUGAAUUUCAGUAAGUGAAUGAGUUCAUGUCAAAAGGGCUGUCAGAGAAAAAACAUACAUUUUGUAGGUCAUAGAGGAAAUAAGAUCUUGUAAAAAAGUAUUUCCAACAAGCAGAAAGUUUCGGAGGAUCUCUGCCAGCCUGCUUUGGAUCAAAGAAGUGCUUAGCUGGGGGGGUGGGGGAGAAAAACUCUGCCUUUUAAUCAAUUCUGAAAUGUCUUCCAGUUAGGGUUAUGUAAAUUACCAAUGUGAACCUGGAAGUGCUACUGAUUAUAAACAAAAGUGAAAUUGCCUGUUUUCUUUUUCUGGAUUAACUUGAGAAUUUAAAGUAAAUCACAUAAAUACAAUGUAGCAUUUUUUUUUCAAUUUUACAUUCAGUGGUCUAAGCAUAGGAGCAUGAUAGGUUGGAAUAUAGUUGUUUGGAAUACAGUUUUUCAAGCAUAGUCAGUUGGCCACAUCUGAGAGAGUCUGUUUUUUUUAAAGAAAAACCACUGGGUAUAAAUAAUACUACCAUGGUCAUAAUAGUUUAAUCCAAUUAAGUGUUAGGAAUAGAACAGCCCUGAAGAGAAUAUUGCAAAAAGAGAGCUGCAAUAAACUGGUUUUAUAUUUACUUGCCUUGUGAUAA
rnacentral:lncRNA from 1 species